rnacentral:lncRNA from 1 species
GAUUCAGAAAACUUUUGAUCAAAGCAAAAUAAAAAUUAAAAAAAGUUUCUAAUAUUUUAUUAAUCAAAUCAUCAUUUAAGAUUUAGAAAAAUAUGAGUAUGAUACUAUAUUUGACAUCAUUCCAUAUUCAGAGUCAUAUUCGGGGUGCAGGGAGAUCGUAGAAUCGAAUUGCAUGGCAACUUUCCACUGAAGGAUAUUUUUGAUAUUUCUAUUAAAAUUUUAUAUCUUUUAGAUAAAUAUGAUAUAUUUUUAGAUAUCAAUCUUGUCUUGUGGGUUUGAUUGAAUUAAAAAGUUUAAUUCGAUCGUCAAUUAGAAAGAGUUCUAAUUGUUGAAAUUGGGUUAGCUUGAUUGGUUCU